rnacentral:rRNA from 1 species
UGGGGAAUUUUGGACAAUGGGCGAAAGCCUGAUCCAGCAAUGCCGCGUGUGUGAAGAGGGCCUUCGGGUUGUAAAGCACUUUUGUCCGGAAAGAAAUCCUUGGCUCUAAUACAGUCGGGGGAUGACGGUACCGGAAGAAUAAGCACCGGCUAACUACGUGCCAGCAGCCGCGGUAAUACGUAGGGUGCAAGCGUUAAUCGGAAUUACUGGGCGUAAAGCGUGCGCAGGCGGUUUGCUAAGACCGAUGUGAAAUCCCCGGGCUCAACCUGGGAACUGCAUUGGUGACUGGCAGGCUAGAGUAUGGCAGAGGGGGGUAGAAUUCCACGUGUAGCAGUGAAAUGCGUAGAAAUGUGGAGGAAUACCGAUGGCGAAGGCAGCCCCCUGGGCCAAUACUGACGCUCAUGCACGAAAGCGUGGGGAGCAAACAGGAUUAGAUACCCUGGUAGUCCACGCCCUAAACGAUGUCAACUAGUUGUUGGGGAUUCAUUUCCUUAGUAACGUAGCUAACGCGUGAAGUUGACCGCCUGGGGAGUACGGUCGCAAGAUUAAAACUCAAAUGAAUUGACGGGGUCAA